UACGGAGGGGGCGAGCGUUGUCCGAAGUUACUGGGCGUAAAGCGCGUGUAGGCGGGUUGCCAAGUCCGCUGUGAAAGCCCGAGGCUCAACCUCGGAGGGUCGGUGGAUACUGGUAGUCUUGAAGGUGCUAGGGGGAGAUGGAAUUACCGGUGUAGCGGUGAAAUGCGUAGAGAUCGGUAGGAACACCAGUGGCGAAGGCGGUCUCCUGGGGCAUUCUUGACGCUGAGACGCGAAAGCUGGGGGAGCAAACGGG
rnacentral:rRNA from 1 species